CAAAGUGUUCGGUAAUCUGUUUUUCUUUCACUCCCCCCCCCUCCAUUGAAGGAGGACGACAAGAGAGAGAGAUCAUUCUAUUGUUUAAUUCCUUGUAAAUUUACGUCACAUGUUGAUAUUUUAAGGAGGUGCCAAGAGGAUAUGGCCAGAUCACAUGGUCCUGGAAAGUAGUAUUCAAGGAAACAAGCGUUUUGUAAGUACAUUUUGGAAAGAAGAAAAGGAUUCCUGCAUUCCUGACAUUUGAAGCUGAAGGCAACUUGCAGGCAAGAAGCGACACAAAUACCCACCAGCACUAACCCUAGGUGCAUGUGAAGUGAUGCAAAAUGGACAGACACACGCGAUUAAUGAAGCAAUAGUACAACAUCAUUCAGGACUUUGGUAAACCUUAAAGCACCAAGCCAAUUCCUUCCUUGCCAAAAGAAGGAGAAGCUACUACUGCCAGCACAAAGAUUUCGUGUCACCUAUCACCCAUGUUUGAAAGAUACUAAAAUGGUAUAAUGGGGGGAAAUGGUAUUCUGGUACUUAGUUCUAGUGUUUUGGUCUUCCUUGCUC